UAUGUAAAAAUAUAAAGAACAAGCGCUUUUCAACAAAUUUUCAUCUAUAAUUUUGUCACAAAUUUUUCAUUGUGAGACCCUGAGUCGUUCGUCGUUUUUCGAUAUUAGUUAAGGUUAGGAUAGAAUUUCUGCUAGAACAAUGCUAGAACUAUGAGUAUAAGAAAAAACUAAGUCAAACUUAACCAGUUUUAUUAGUUUCAGUCAUUUUAAGCCCAUUCAAUAUCGACAAACGACCGAAUUCACCUCGAAUUUCACUAAAUCAAAGAACUGAAUAAUACACGAUGUAAAAACAAACAACUAUCGAGAUGGAUUGUGGGAAA